rnacentral:rRNA from 1 species
GGAACGUGCCUUUUGGUUCGGAAUAACUCAGGGAAACUUGUGCUAAUACCGAAUGUGCCCUUCGGGGGAAAGAUUUAUCGCCAUUAGAGCGGCCCGCGUCUGAUUAGCUUGUUGGUGGGGUAAUGGCCCACCAAGGCUACGAUCAGUAGCUGGUCUGAGAGGAUGACCAGCCACAUUGGGACUGAGACACGGCCCAAACUCCUACGGGAGGCAGCAGUGGGGAAUCUUGCGCAAUGGGCGAAAGCCUGACGCAGCCAUGCCGCGUGUAUGAUGAAGGUCUUAGGAUUGUAAAAUACUUUCACCGGCGAAGAUAAUGACUGUAGCCGGAGAAGAAGCCCCGGCUAACUUCGUGCCAGCAGCCGCGGUAAUACGAAGGGGGCUAGCGUUGCUCGGAAUUACUGGGCGUAAAGGGAGCGUAGGCGGACAUUUAAGUCAGAGGUGAAAUCCCGGAGCUUAACUUCGGAACUGCCUUUGAUACUGGGUGUCUUGAGUGUGAGAGAGGUAUGUGGAGCUCCGAGUGUAGAGGUGAAAUUCGUAGAUAUUCGGAAGAACACCAGUGGCGAAGGCGACAUACUGGCUCAUUACUGACGCUGAGGCUCGAAAGCGUGGGGAGCAAACAG